CCUACGGGUGGCAGCAGUGGGGAAUAUUGCACAAUGGGGGAAACCCUGAUGCAGCGACGCCGCGUGAAGGAAGACGUAUUUCGGUAUGUAAACUUCUAUCAGCAGGGAAGAAAAUUACGGUACCUGACUAAGAAGCCCCGGCUAACUACGUGCCAGCAGCCGCGGGAAUACGUAGGGGGCAAGCGUUAUCCGGAUUUACUGGGUGUAAAGGGAGCGUAGGCGGCGAGGCAAGUCAGAAGUGAAAGCCUGGGGCUCAACUCCGGGACUGCUUUUGAAACUGUGUUGCUAGAUUGCAGGAGAGGUAAGUGGAAUUCCUGGUGUAGCGGUGAAAUGCGUAGAUAUUAGGAGGAACACCAGUGGCGAAGGCGGCUUACUGGACUGUAAAUGACGCUGAGGCUCGAAAGCGUGGGGAGCAAACAGGAUUAGAUACCCUUGUAGUC
rnacentral:rRNA from 1 species